GACGAACGCUGGCGGCGUGCCUAACACAUGCAAGUUGAGCGACGAACCAGGGCUUGCCCUGGGGCAAAGCAGCGAACGGGUGAGUAACACGUGGGUAACCUACCCCGAUAACCGGGACAACCCGAGGAAACUCGGGCUAAUACCGGAUGUGCUCACUGGACUUCGGUUCAGUGCGUAAAGGAAGCUUCGGCCUCCGUAUCGGGAGGGGCCCGCGGCCCAUUAGUUUGUUGGUGAGGUAACGGCUCACCAAGACCGCGAUGGGUAGCUGGUCUGAGAGGACGAUCAGCCACACUGGGACUGAGACACGGCCCAGACUCCUACGGGAGGCAGCAGUGGGGAAUCUUGCGCAAUGCGCGAAAGCGUGACGCAGCAACGCCGCGUGGGGGAAGAAGGCCUUCGGGUUGUAAACCCCUUUCAGGAGGGACGAAGGUUCGGCGGUGAAUAGCCGUCCGGACUGACGGUACAUCCACAAGAAGCCCCGGCUAACUACGUG
rnacentral:rRNA from 1 species